rnacentral:rRNA from 1 species
UUCGAGUGGCGGACGGGUGAGUAACGCGUGGGUAACCUGCCUUACACAGGGGGAUAACACCUGGAAACAGGUGCUAAUACCGCAUAAGCGCACAGGGCCGCAUGGCCCGGUGUGAAAAACUCCGGUGGUGUAAGAUGGACCCGCGUCUGAUUAGCUUGUUGGCGGGGUAGGGGCCCACCAAGGCGACGAUCUGUAGCCGGCCUGAGAGGGUGGACGGCCACAUUGGGACUGAGACACGGCCCAAACUCCUACGGGAGGCAGCAG